UACGUAGGGUGCGAGCGUUAAUCGGAUUUACUGGGCGUAAAGCGUGCGCAGGCGGCCCGUUAAGACAGGUGUGAAAUCCCUGGGCUCAACCUAGGAAUUGCGCUUGUGACUGGCGGGCUCGAGUACGGUAGAGGGGGGUGGAAUUCCUGGUGUAGCAGUGAAAUGCGUAGAGAUCAGGAGGAACACCGAUGGCGAAGGCAGCCCCCUGGGCCUGUACUGACGCUCAUGCGCGAAAGCUGGGGGAGCGAACCGG
rnacentral:rRNA from 1 species